UCAGAUGGCCGGGUGACCGCGGGUGAGCAAUCAUUCGAGGAAAGUCCGGGCUCCACGGAAAGACGGUGCCGGAUAACGUCCGGCGGGGGCGACCCCAGGGAUAGCGCCACAGAAAUGACACCGCCUACCGGCCUAAAGCCGCGGCAAGGUUGAAAUGGUGCGGUAAGAGCGCACCGCGCGUCUGGCAACAGAAGCGGCACGGCAAGCCCCACCGGGAGCAAGACCAAAUAGGGACGGUAUAUGGCGUUUUCCGCGCUGCCGUCCGGGUCGGUCGCGCGAGGCAUGUGGCGACACAUGUCCCAGAGGAAUGGUCACCCCUUCGAAAGAAGGACAGAACCCGGCUUACAGGCCAUCUGACGCU
rnacentral:RNase_P_RNA from 1 species